CCCUUAGAUGUUCGGGGCCGCACGCGCGCUACACUGAAUGAAUCAGCGAGUGUAUGUCCUAGGCCGAAAGGUCCGGGUAACCCGUUGAACCUCAUUCGUGAUUGGGAUAGGGACUUGCAAUUGUUUCCCUUGAACGAGGAAUUCCCAGUAAGCGCAAGUCAUCAGCUUGCGUUGAUUACGUCCCUGCCCUUUGUACACACCGCCCGUCGCUACUACCGAUUGGGUGUGCUGGUGAAAUGUUCGGAUCGGCCGUUUGUCGCGGUUUCCGCGUCAUGUGGCUGAGAAGUUCAUUAAACCCUCCCACCUAGAGGAAGGAGAAGUCGUAACA
rnacentral:rRNA from 1 species